UCAAAUAUUGCAUGGAUUAUCGAACUCGAGAUCAAGUAAGGAAUUCUAAUCAAGAGAAAAUGAUGACUGAGAAUUUGAUACUUCAUGAAAAUCAACGCUAUUAAACAAUUGAUCGGAAUUCAUUGCGAGGAUCGUUGAAAAAAAAUCAUGAAACAAAACAAACAAAAUGAUAAAAAAUGGAAAAUGAACGCGGCAGAAGAAGUAAGUUUAGAAAAAAAAUAAUUAAAGUGCUCCUUCAACACAGAAA
rnacentral:lncRNA from 1 species